AAAGGAAUUGACGGGGGCCCGCACAAGCGGUGGAGCAUGUGGUUUAAUUCGACGCAACGCGAAGAACCUUACCAAGGCUUGACAUGGAUAUGACCGGUGCAGAGAUGCGCCUUCCCUUCGGGGCAUAUCACACAGGUGGUGCAUGGUUGUCGUCAGCUCGUGUCGUGAGAUGUUGGGUUAAGUCCCGCAACGAGCGCAACCCUUAUGUUUAGUAACCAGCAGGUAGAGCUGGGCACACUAGAGAGACUGCCGUGGUAACACGGAGGAAGGUGGGGACGACGUCAAAUCAUCAUGCCCCUUACGUCUUGGGCUACACACGUGCUACAAUGGCCGAAACAAAGUGAAGCGAGAGCGUGAGCUGGAGCAAACCAAGAAAAGCGGCCUCAGUUCGGAUUGCAGUCUGCAACUCGAGUGCAUGAAGUCGGAAUCGCUAGUAAUCGCGAAUCAGCAUGUCGCGGUGAAUACGUUCCCGGGCCUUGUACACACCGCCCGU
rnacentral:rRNA from 1 species